rnacentral:lncRNA from 1 species
GAAAAAAAUCUCUGAAUGCAGUACUUAUGUGUUUGUUUUGGGUUUGAUAGCUAAUUGUAAUUAUUUAGUAAUGAAUAAUUAUACAAAAUCUGUCAAUACUGAGUAAAAAAUAAUCAACCGUGUUUCAACUUUACACGAACGGAAAAAAAAAAAAAAACUUAGGCGGUCAACACGGGAAUUAUGCAGAUCUUACGCAGGUCAACGCCUAGCUACACCGAUUUGGAUAUAUUCACCGCGGUUAACCUCCGAACAGCGCCCGACCACGGUGCAUCACGAUGAAUAAAGCAUACAACAUAUUUCGUUCAGUUGAUCUCUGUAGAUCAUACAAAUGCGCUGACUCGGA